UACUAGAGAAUAGCCAAGAGAAAUUUUGAUUAAUGCUCUAUACUCUUAUUAACUCACAUGAGUUUUUAAGAAAAGCUCCGCGGUAAAAGAUGGGCAUCGUCCUAUUAGCUUGUAGGUGAGGUAACGGCUCACCUAAGCUCCGAUAGGUAGGGGUCCUGAGAGGGAGAUCCCCCACACUGGUACUGAGACACGGACCAACUUCUACGGAAGGCAGCAGUAAGGAAUAUUGGACAAUGGAGGCAACUCUGAUCCAGCGAUGCCGCGUGAAGGAAGACGGCCCUAUGGGUUGUAAACUUCUUUUAUACAGGAAGAAACCUUUCCACGUGUGGAAAGCUGACGGUACUGUAAGAAUAAGGAUCGG
rnacentral:rRNA from 1 species